ACUCGAGUGGCGAACGGGUGAGUAACACGUGGGUGAUCUGCCUUGCACUUCGGGAUAAGCUUGGGAAACUGGGUCUAAUACCGGAUAGGACAGCUGUUUAGUGUCAGUUGUGGAAAGUUUUUCGGUGCAAGAUGAGCUCGCGGCCUAUCAGCUUGUUGGUGGGGUAAUGGCCUACCAAGGCGUCGACGGGUAGCCGGCCUGAGAGGGUGGACGGCCACAUUGGGACUGAGAUACGGCCCAG
rnacentral:rRNA from 1 species